AACAUGAAGAGCAAUUAGGAGCGGGCCAGGCUGGAUAGGGGCAGGAAAGUGAGCAGGCAGGUGUGAUGGAAGGAGGAAGAGCUGAGCUGGGAAACUGUUCACCCGAAGAUAUGAUCUUCAAAAAUAACCUCUCCAUUCCCACAAGAGCACCAAAACAACACAGAAAUAUCAAAAGGCACAACUAAGUUGUGUUCUGCCUUAAUAAAUCAGUGUGACAAAAA